UGCAGCUAAGUCAAAUUUAGUGCUUGCUUUGUGAACCAUACUGGCCAAAUUGGCUGUGGCAUCGAAUUAUUAGUCCACAAUCCCAACAUUCUUCCAGUGUUGAUACUGGGGAUAGAAGAGACUAUGAACUAUG